rnacentral:rRNA from 1 species
GACGAACGCUGGCGGCGUGCUUAACACAUGCAAGUCGAACGGUGAAGCGCCUUCCUUUUUGGUGGGUGUGGAUGAGUGGCGAACGGGUGAGUAACACGUGAGUAACCUGCCCCCUUCUUCUGGAUAACCGCAUGAAAGUGUGGCUAAUACGGGAUAUUCUGGGUCUGUCGCAUGAUGGGUCUGGGAAAGAUAUUGUUUCGGUGGGGGAUGGGCUCGCGGCCUAUCAGCUUGUUGGUGGGGUGAUGGCCUACCAAGGCGGUGACGGGUAGCCGGCCUGGGAGGGUGGACGGUCACACUGGGACUGAGGCACGGCCGAGACUGCUACGGGAGGCAGCAGUGGGGAAUAUUGCACAAUGGGCGCAAGCCUGAUGCAGCGACGCCGCGUGAGGGAUGGAGGCCUUCGGGUUGUGAACCUCUUUCGCCAGUGAAGCAGGCCUGCCUCGUUUGUGGGUGGGUUGACGGUAGCUGGAAAAGAAGCGCCGGCUAACUACGUG